rnacentral:rRNA from 1 species
UACAGAGGGUGCGAGCGUUGUCCGGAAUCACUGGGCGUAAAGGGCGCGUAGGUGGUGGCUUAAGCGUGCGGUGAAAGCUCGGGGCUCAACUCCGAGUCGGCCGUGCGAACUGGGCUCACUGGAGCAUAGUAGAGGCAGGUGGAAUUCCGGGUGUAGCGGUGGAAUGCGUAGAGAUCCGGAAGAACACCGGUGGCGAAGGCGGCCUGCUGGGCGUCAUGGCUGA